rnacentral:rRNA from 2 species
GAGUCUCCUGAAGGAACGUUGAAGACGACGACGUUGAUAGGCCGGGUGUGUAAGCGCAGCGAUGCGUUGAGCUAACCGGUACUAAUGAACCGUGAGGCUUAACCUUACAACGCCAAAG